rnacentral:tRNA from 1 species
GGGGUUGUGGCUCAGUGGUAGAGCAUUUGCCUCACAUGUAUGAGGCACUGGAUUCAAUUCUCAGCACCUCA